GACGAACGCUGGCGGCGUGCCUAAUACAUGCAAGUCGAACGAGAGCGACCGGUGCUUGCACUGGUCAAUCUAGUGGCGAACGGGUGAGUAACACGUGGGUAACCUGCCCAUCAGAGGGGGAUAACAUCCGGAAACGGAUGCUAAAACCGCAUAUGUCUUCGAACCGCAUGGUUUGAAGAGGAAAAGGGGCGCAAGCUUCUGCUGAUGGAUGGACCCGCGGUGCAUUAGCUAGUUGGUGAGGUAACGGCUCACCAAGGCCGUGAUGCAUAGCCGACCUGAGAGGGGGAUCGGCCACAUUGGGACUGAGACACGGCCCAAACUCCUACGGGAGGCAGCAGUAGGGAAUCUACCGCAAUGGGCGCAAGUCUGACGGAGCAACGCCGCGUGAGUGAAGAAGGUUUUCGGAUCGUAAAACUCUGUUGUUAGAGAAGAACAAGUGCUAGAGUAACUGUUAGCGCCUUGACGGUAUCUAACCAGAAAGCCACGGCUAACUACGU
rnacentral:rRNA from 1 species